rnacentral:lncRNA from 1 species
CAGCACUCGGACUUCAUGCAGUGAGUGAAAAAGAUAAAGCCCCACUCGCUCUGUCCACCUUGAAUGAGGAGUCAAGAACAUCGCAAAUGCAACAGCAGAACAAAUGUGGACCAUCUUGCAUUCACCAGCCACAUCUGACUGCUGUUGGCAGCAUAUGAAGCAAAAAAAGACAUCAAGGCUCAGUGAGAAGUCUUGGAAAAGAAUGACGAAGGACUUCACCUUCCUGAUGAACUGACAGAUGAAGAGAAAAAUCCAAA